rnacentral:rRNA from 1 species
AUUGAACGCUGGCGGCAGGCCUAACACAUGCAAGUCGCACGAGUGGCGGACGGGUGAGUAAUGUCUGGGAAACUGCCUGAUGGAGGGGGAUAACUACUGGAAACGGUAGCUAAUACCGCAUACCAUCAGAUGUGCCCAGAUGGGAUUAGCUAGUUGGUGGGGUAACGGCUCACAAAGGCGACGAUCCCUCGCUGGUCUGAGAGGAUGACUAGCCAAACUGGAACGUGGACAGGGUCCAGACUACUACGGGAGGCAGAAGUGGGGAAGAUUGAACAAGGGGCGCAAGCCUGAUGCAGCCAUGCCGCGUGUAUGAAGAAGGCCUGCGGGUUGUAAAGUACGUUCAGCGGGGAGGCGUUACCCGCAGAAGAAGCACCGGCUAACUCCGUGCGAGCAGCCGAGGUAAUUC